ACGAAGGUCCCGAGCGUUGUUCGGAAUCACUGGGCGUAAAGGGAGCGUAGGCGGCGUGGCAAGUCAGACGUGAAAGCCCGGGGCUCAACCCCGGAAUUGCGUCCGAUACUGCCGUGCUUGAGGGUUGGAGAGGUAGCUGGAAUUCUUGGUGUAGCAGUGAAAUGCGUGGAUAUCAAGAGGAACACUCGUGGCGAAAGCGAGCUACUGGACAACACCUGACGCUGAGGCUCGAAGGCCAGGGUAGCGAAAGG
rnacentral:rRNA from 1 species